AGAGGUGUCCAAUAGAUGACAUAGGCGUCGUCGUUUUCAUGUGAUGGCGGAUUGUUGUGUUGAGUGAUUGUCAAAAGUUUUCUUAUUUUUCCAUGAAAAUUACCGAUGAAUUCAUAAGUAAAUUCAAGUUCGUUUCUGUGCAAUUUGUUUGUGAUGUGAUUUAUUCCGUAUGUGUGCUGGAUCAAAUUCAAAAUUCCUCAAUCUAACCUGUAGGAAGGAACGGGAAAGGAAAGAGUAGCACACAAGUAGCCUACCAUCACUACCACCAACUCUUUUAUUAAAAAUCUUUGUUCUGCUGAAUGCAUCAUGCAGUUAAUACAGGUCACUACCCCAGUGUGGACAUGUUUGUUUUUCUGAGCAUGUUUUUCAACAAAUAAUUCAUUGAUGUUCAAGGAAAGCUAUGAAAAAUAUCAUAUCAUCUAGGCCAUGGGUAAUCUUCAGGGUUUUGCAGCAGCUUAAGAGAAAAAUAUGAAAAAAUGCAGGGUACAUACCAACAUGUGUUGUAUUUUUCUGAAUGUUAAACACAAGCAGUAGAUUCAACAUGACUAACUGUUUGAUGCCAAAGUUAGUUGAAACUUAACUCACUGUACGUACUCUAACACAGAUGACUGGUGCUGUUGCCUUUCAGUCACAGGCAGGAAAAUUAUUCUUUUCUUCAGAAAAUUGGAAAGCUGCUGGAGUUAUCUGGUGUUCAUGCUAAUUUGAUUCAUUUCGUGCCAGGUGCCAGCUAGUGAAAGCCGAAAGGCAUGUCGAAUUCAAUUGAGCUGCUGCGUGCUGUCUCGAAGCAAGCAAUCCAGCCGAUGCGUUCAGUCAUUUGGAACAGGUCAACAGGAAUCUAAUGGCUGUCGCAAUAGGUGGCUGUGAAUAAGUGGCUGAAAUUAUGUCCACCAGAUGGCGCCAGUGUCUUCAGGAUAGUCUUAGUGGCCAUUUUGUUCCAAGACGCAGCAGAAAUGGGUUGUUGGUUGUGACGUUUCUCACGAUGAAAAUUAAAAGGUGAUUUAGCACGUAGAAACCAAUUUGCCAAAUCAUUCAAAACAGACUUGGAAGUGCCUGUACGUUUCCGAAAUGGCGUGCCUCGUGUGUCUCGCUGGCUGUUCUUAGGCGUACGUCUCAUCCCAUGCAACAGCAAAAUGUAUAACAAACGCUUCUUUAACACUGGUGGC